AUUGAACGCUGGCGGCGUGCUUAACACAUGCAAGUCGUGCGGUAACAGGCGUAGCAAUACGUGCUGACGAGCGGCGAACGGGUGCGUAAUACAUGGGAAUCUGCCCUUUAGUGGGGAAUAACCCGGCGAAAGCCGGGCUAAUGCCGCAUAAGAUCUUCGGAUGAAAGCGGGGGAUCGUAAGACCUCGCGCUGAUGGAUGAGCCCAUGCCGGAUUAGCUAGNGGUGAGGUAAAGGCUCACCAAGGCGACGAUCCGUAGCUGGUCUGAGAGGACGGCCAGCCACACUGGGACUGAGACACGGCCCAGACUCCUACGGGAGGCAGCAGUGGGGAAUAUUGGACAAUGGGGGAAACCCUGAUCCAGCGACGCCGCGUGUGUGAAGAAGGCCUGCGGGUUGU
rnacentral:rRNA from 1 species